rnacentral:rRNA from 1 species
AUGAAGAAAGCCACGGCCCCGGGCCCUGAUGGUUGUCCAGUUGAAUUCUUUUGUAGAUUCUGGCCUAUUCUUCGGCCCCUUUUCUUUAAUAUUGUGAAUGGGUUUGCCCUAGGUACGGUAGAUAUUUCCCGCGUAAACUACGGGGCUAUCAGCCUAAUCCCUAAAGUGAAAGGGGUGGACAACAUUAAGUUGUUCAGACCAAUCACUCUCAUCAAUGUCCCCUUUAAGAUUUGCGCUAAGGCUUAUGCGACCCGAUUGGCUCCAGUGGCUCAACGGGUUAUCCUCAAAAGCCAAACUGCCUUUCUUAAAGGUCAUAACAUCCUGGAGGGCCCUAUUGCUCUCCUUGAAAUUGUUCAUGAGCUAAAACAGAAAAAGCAGCAAGGGGUGCCGCUCAAGCUCGAUUUCGAAAAAGCCUACGACCGUGUAAAUUGGGAGUUUGUACGGGAGGUUCUCCUCAAAAAGGGUUUUGAAGCAGGAUUUGUCCACGUGUCAUGA